rnacentral:misc_RNA from 1 species
AGCAGCCGCGGUAAUUCCAGCUCCAAUAGCGUAUAUUAAAGUUGUUGCAGUUAAAAAGCUCGUAGUUGAAUUUCGAGAUCAAAUUGUUGGUCGUGCCUUGGUACGCACUGGCAUUAUUGGUUUCUCCCUUCUGACGAACCAUGAUGUCAUUAAUUUGGUGUCUUGGGGAAUCAGGACUGUUACUUUGAAAAAAAUUAGAGUGUUUAAAGCAGGCUCACGCUUGAAUACAUUAGCAUGGAAUAAUGAAAUAGGACGUUUGAUUCUAUUUUGUUGGUUUCUAGGAUCGACGUAAUGAUUAAUAGGGAUAGUUGGGGGCAUUAGUAUUCAAUUGUCAGAGGUGAAAUUCUUGGAUUUAUUGAAGACUAACUACUGCGAAAGCAUUUGCCAAGGAUGUUUUCAUUAAUCAAGAACGAAAGUUAGGGGAUCGAAGACGAUCAGAUACCGUCGUAGUCUUAACCAUAAACUAUGCCGACUAGGGAUCGGAUGAUGUUAAUUUUUUAAUGACUCAUUCGGCGCCUUA